GUCCAGCUAGCUCAGGUGGUAAAGCAUGAGACUCUUAAUCUCAGGGAUGUGGAUUUAAGCCUCAAGUUGGGCA
rnacentral:tRNA from 1 species